rnacentral:rRNA from 1 species
CUUUCCUCCCGAGUGCUUGCACUCAAUUGGAAAGAGGAGUGGCGGACGGGUGAGUAACACGUGGGUAACCUACCCAUCAGAGGGGGAUAACACUUGGAAACAGGUGCUAAUACCGCAUAACAGUUUAUGCCGCAUGGCAUAAGAGUGAAAGGCGCUUUCGGGUGUCGCUGAUGGAUGGACCCGCGGUGCAUUAGCUAGUUGGUGAGGUAACGGCUCACCAAGGCCACGAUGCAUAGCCGACCUGAGAGGGUGAUCGGCCACACUGGGACUGAGACACGGCCCAUACUCCUACGGGAGGCAGCAGUAGGGAAUCUUCGGCAAUGGACGAAAGUCUGACCGAGCAACGCCGCGUGAGUGAAGAAGGUUUUCGGAUCGUAAAACUCUGUUGUUAGAGAAGAACAAGGACGUUAGUAACUGAACGUCCCCUGACGGUAUCUAACCAGAAAGCCACGGCUAACUACGUGCCAGCAGCCGCGGUAAUACGUAGGUGGCAAGCGUUGUCCGGAUUUAUUGGGCGUAAAGCGAGCGCAGGCGGUUUCUUAAGUCUGAUGUGAAA